rfam:Ictidomys tridecemlineatus contig116666, whole genome shotgun sequence.
UGGGUUGUGGCUCAGUGGUAGAGCGCUUGCCUAGCAUGCAUGAGGUACUGGGUUCUAUCCUGGGCACCACAU